CGACACACUAUCGUUAACUGAAUACAUAGGUUAACGAGGCGAACCGGGGGAACUGAAACAUCUAAGUACCCCGAGGAAAAGAAAUCAACCGAGAUUCCCCCAGUAGCGGCGAGCGAACGGGGAGCAGCCCGGAGUCUGAAUCAGCUUGUGUGUUAGUGGAACGGUCUGGAAAGUCCGACGGUACAGGGUGAUAGUCCCGUACACGAAAACACACUUGCUGUGAACUCGAAGAGUAGGGCGGGACACGUGGUAUCCUGUCUGAAUAUGGGGGGACCAUCCUCCAAGGCUAAAUACUCCUGACUGACCGAUAGUGAACCAGUACCGUGAGGGAAAGGCGAAAAGAACCCCGGCGAGGGGAGUGAAAAAGAACCUGAAACCGUGUACGUACAAGCAGUGGGAGCACCUUCGGGUGUGACUGCGUACCUUUUGUAUAAUGGGUCAGCGACUUAUAUUCUGUAGCAAGGUUAACCGUAUAGGGGAGCCGAAGGGAAACCGAGUCUUAACUGGGCGUUAAGUUGCAGGGUAUAGACCCGAAACCCGGUGAUCUAGCCAUGGGCAGGUUGAAGGUUGGGUAACACUAACUGGAGGACCGAACCGACUAAUGUUGAAAAAUUAGCGGAUGACCUGUGGCUGGGGGUGAAAGGCCAAUCAAACCGGGAGAUAGCUGGUUCUCCCCGAAAGCUAUUUAGGUAGCGCCUCGUGAACUCAUCUUCGGGGGUAGAGCACUGUUUCGGCUAGGGGGCCAUCCCGGCUUACCAACCCGAUGCAAACUACGAAUACCGAAGAAUGUUAUCACGGGAGACACACGGCGGGUGCUAACGUCCGUCGUGAAGAGGGAAACAACCCAGACCGCCAGCUAAGGUCCCAAAGUCAUGGUUAAGUGGGAAACGAUGUGGGAAGGCACAGACAGCCAGGAUGUUGGCUUAGAAGCAGCCAUCAUUUAAAGAAAGCGUAAUAGCUCACUGGUCGAGUCGGCCUGCGCGGAAGAUGUAACGGGGCUAAACCAUGCACCGAAGCUGCGGCAGCGAC
rnacentral:rRNA from 1 species